GCGGGGAUAGAGCAACGGUUAAGGCUCGGCAGUCUCAUAAGCUGAAGUUCAGUGGGUUCGACUCCCACCCCCGUU
rnacentral:tRNA from 2 species